rnacentral:rRNA from 1 species
UUUAAAUUGAGAGUUUGAUCCUGGCUCAGGAUGAACGCUGGUGGCGUGCCUAAUACAUGCAAGUCGUACGCUAGCCGCUGAAUUGAUCCUUCGGGUGAAGUGAGGCAAUGACUAGAGUGGCGAACUGGUGAGUAACACGUAAGAAACCUGCCCUUUAGUGGGGGAUAACAUUUGGAAACAGAUGCUAAUACCGCGUAACAACAAAUCACACAUGUGAUCUGUUUGAAAGGUCCUUUUGGAUCGCUAGAGGAUGGUCUUGCGGCGUAUUAGCUUGUUGGUAGGGUAGAAGCCUACCAAGGCAAUGAUGCGUAGCCGAGUUGAGAGACUGGCCGGCCACAUUGGGACUGAGACACUGCCCAAACUCCUACGGGAGGCUGCAGUAGGGAAUUUUCCGCAAUGCACGAAAGUGUGACGGAGCGACGCCGCGUGUGUGAUGAAGGCUUUCGGGUCGUAAAGCACUGUUGUAAGGGAAGAAUAACUGAAUUCAGAGAAAGUUUUCAGCUUGACGGUACCUUACCAGAAAGGGAUGGCU